rnacentral:rRNA from 1 species
UACGAGGGGGGCUAGCGUUGCUCGGAAUCACUGGGCGUAAAGGGUGCGUAGGCGGGUCUUUAAGUCAGGGGUGAAAUCCUGGAGCUCAACUCCAGAACUGCCUUUGAUACUGAGGAUCUUGAGUUCGGGAGAGGUGAGUGGAACUGCGAGUGUAGAGGUGAAAUUCGUAGAUAUCGGAAGGAACACCAGUGGCGAAAGCGGCUUCCUGGUCCGACACCGACGUUCAGGCACGAAAGCGUGGGGAGCAAACAGG